UCGGGAAUUUUGGGCAAUGGGCGAAAGCCUGACCCAGCAACGCCGCGUGAAGGAUGAAAUCCCUCGGGAUGUAAACUUCGCAAGAACGGGAAGAAUAAGUAAGGGUUAAUACCUCUUAUGAUGACGGUACUGUUUGUAAGCUCCGGCUAACUCCGUG
rnacentral:rRNA from 1 species